ACCCAAUAGAUACCCAGGUAGUCCUAGCUGUAAACGAUGAGCACUGGAUUGGAGGGCCCUCCAUAGCCUUCCAGUCGCAGCGAAAGUGUUAAGUGCUCCGCCUGGGGAGUAUGGCCGCAAGGCUGAAACUCAAAGAAAUUGACGGGGGCUCACACAAGCGGUGGAGGAUGUGGCUUAAUUCGAGGCUACGCGAAGAACCUUAUCCUAGUCUUGGCAUGCACGGAUUAACUCUUGGAAAACAGGAGCCAGGCCUUCGGGUACAACGUGCACAGGUGCUGCAUGGCUGUCGUCAGCUCGUGUCGUGAGAUGUCGGGUUAAGUCCCUUAACGAGCGAAACCCUUGUCUCUAGUUGCCAGCGAGUAAAGUCGGGGACUCUAGAGAGACCGCCGGCGUUAAGCCGGAGGAAGGUGGGGAUGACGUCAAGUCCUCAUGGCCUUUAUGAUUAGGGCUGCACACGUCCUACAAUGGCGCGCACAAAGGGAUGCAAAGUCGUGAGACCAAGCAAAUCCCAAAAA
rnacentral:rRNA from 1 species